rnacentral:rRNA from 1 species
ACGACGCUGGCGGCGUGCCUAACACAUGCAAGUCGAACGGGGUAAAGACUUCGGUUUUUACUUAGUGGCGAACGGGUGAGUAACGCGUGAGAAACCUGCCUUUCAGUGGGGGACAACAGUUGGAAACGACUGCUAAUACCGCAUAAUGUAUCGAGAGGGCAUCCUCUUGAUACCAAAGAUUUAUUGCUGAAAGAUGGUCUCGCGUCUGAUUAGCUAGUUGGUGAGGUAACGGCUCACCAAGGCGACGAUCAGUAGCCGGUCUGAGAGGAUGAACGGCCACAUUGGGACUGAGAUACGGCCCAGACUCCUACGGGAGGCAGCAGUGGGGAAUAUUGGGCAAUGGGGGAAACCCUGACCCAGCAACGCCGCGUGAAGGAAGAAGGCCUUCGGGUUGUAAACUUCUUUUACCAGGGACGAAGAACGUGACGGUACCUGGAGAAAAAGCAACGGCUAACUACGUG